ACGGCUCAGUAACACGUGGAUAACCUACCCAAUAGUCUGGGAUAACCCCGGGAAACUGGGGAUAAUACCGGGUAGAUCAUCUUUGCUGGAAGGCUUGGUGGUUGAAACUCUUCGGGGGCUGUUGGAUGGGUCUGCGGCUGAUUAGGUUGUUGCCGGUGUAAUGUACCGUCAAGCCUGUAAUCAGUACGGGUUGUGGGAGCAAGAGCCCGGAGAUGGAUUCUGAGACACGAAUCCAGGCCCUACGGGGCGCAGCAGGCGCGAAAACUCUACAAUGCAGGCAACUGCGAUAGGGGAACAUCGAGUGAUCCUCAUAUUGGGGGUCUGUCCACCCGCCUAAAAAGCGGGUGUUAGCAAGGGCCGGGCAAGACCGGUGCCAGCCGCCGCGGUAAUACCGGCGGCUCGAGUGGUGGCCGAUAUUAUUGAGUCUAAAGGGUCCGUAGCCGGCUUUGCAAGUCUCUCGGGAAAUCCAGCGGCUUAACCGUUGGUCGUCCGGGGGGUACUACAUUGCUUGGGACUGGGAGAGGCGAGAGGUACUCAGGGGGUAGGAGUGAAAUCCUGUAAUCCUCUGGAGACCACCGGUGGCGAAGGCGUCUCGCCAGAACAGGUCCGACGGUGAGGGACGAAAGCUAGGGGCACGAACCGGAUUAGAUACCCGGGUAGUCCUAGCCGUAAACGAUGCUCGCUAGGUGUCACAACAGUCGUGAACUGUUGUGGUGCCGUAGGGAAGCCGUGAAGCGAGCCACUUGGGAAGUACGACCGCAAGGUUGAAACUUAAAGGAAUUGGCGGGGGAGCAC
rnacentral:rRNA from 1 species